rnacentral:rRNA from 1 species
AUUGAACGCUGGCGGCAGGCCUAACACAUGCAAGUCGAGCGGAUGAAGGGAGCUUGCUCCUGGAUUCAGCGGCGGACGGGUGAGUAAUGCCUAGGAAUCUGCCUGGUAGUGGGGGAUAACGUCCGGAAACGGGCGCUAAUACCGCAUACGUCCUGAGGGAGAAAGUGGGGGAUCUUCGGACCUCACGCUAUCAGAUGAGCCUAGGUCGGAUUAGCUAGUUGGUGGGGUAAAGGCCUACCGAGGCGACGAUCCGUAACUGGUCUGAGAGGAUGAUCAGUCACACUGGAACUGAGACACGGUCCAGACUCCUACGGGAGGCAGCAGUGGGGAAUAUUGGACAAUGGGCGAAAGCCCGAUCCAGCCAUGCCGCGUGUGUGAAGAAGGUCUUCGGAUUGUAAAGCACUUUAAGUUGGGAGGAAGGGCAGUAAGUUAAUACCUUGCUGUUUUGACGUUACCAACAGAAUAAGCACCGGCUAACUUCGUG